CUGUUCUAGCCCAGAGUCCCCCAUCAGGAACUUUCUCUGUAUUAGGCAGCCCCCAAAAAGCUAUUUUUGUGACCUAAAGAAAAAAUGGCUCACUGAAACAGAACUUUGCUGAUCUGGUUUCAGAGAAUUCUACGAGAUGAAACAUUCCAUGGAACUCAACACAGAACGGGCAUAUCUGGUUGAUGUUCACUGUUGGCUGAGAUCUUGUCUGGAAACUCGGCUGGAACAUCUAGAGCUGUCUUCUUUGUACUUGGACUUUCCCAUGGUGUGGUAGCUGGGUUCCAAAAGCAAGCAUUUCAACAGAACCAGGCAGAAGCUGUGAACUUCCUGUGAACUAGUUUUGGAAGUACAUAGUGUCACUUCCACCGUUAGUCAUAAACCCUCCCACAUUCAAGAAGGGAACCUAGAUUUCCGUAUCUUUUUUAAAAAGAUUUUAUUUUUAAGUGAUCUUUCCACCCAACGUGGGGCUGGAACUCACAACCCUGAGAUCAAGAGUCACAUGCUCCUCCGAUUGA